CUGCUAGAGGGCUCAGUAUGACCGAAGUUGAAAAUCUGUGGCCUGAACAUCUCUGCUGUGCCUGGAUGAAUUUCUUUUGCUGUUUCGUCGCAAGUUCUUGUCGAGAUGACCCGUUUCCGUAGUACGUAGUCAUUCGCCAAACGAAAAGGGAUAAACCUACGGAUCAGGUACAAAAAUGGAUAAUGAAACAGGACUGGCCAUUUUAAGUGCCGUAUUAAAUGGCAUGUCGUGCCCAAACCGAAUACUCACCAGUGAAGAAGAUAAUUCAACUGGAAUUGGCGUCAAGGAUCUGCACAAGAUUUUGUUGAAAGGAUGCCGUUACCCUCCGGAACUGGAAAACAAACCGGAUACUCCUAUGGCAGAAAAUUCUGUAAGCAUUGACGUUUUCGUGGAAACGAUGGCCGGAGAACCGUUUCCCUUGACUAUUAAACCCACUACGACAAUCAAUGAAUUAAAAAGGAUUAUAUUACCGUCAAAAGAAAUUUCGCCACAAACCCAACGCUUGAUUUUGGCUAUCCAUUUAGACGAUGAUUAAAAUUUAAAAGAGGGGAGCACUUGAAUAGUCUUGAUCUAUACAAGUGUAUAGCACACACAAAAACCAAAGAUACUCUACGUCGCCUUACAGAACUUUUGUUACAAUUUUUAAGUUAUCGUUUACACCACAUGCAUUUUACGUUGACGACAGAACGUUUUUCGUUUUUUUCCUGUUUUUCUCUGUUGUUUUUUUUUCUUUGUUUGUUUUUGUUUUGCUCCACAAUGAAAACUUUCAUGCUGCAUCUGUCUGCGCAUAUAAAACAACCUUUUUAAAAUAUCUUUUAAAAUCGUUUGGCGAUUUUUCAGGAUAACACUGCAGCGCGAUAUUUUCAACUCGAGUGUUUGUUUUUACUAAAUCAUGUUCGUGACGCUUCACCUUUGACCAAUGG